UUUAGCUUUUUCCAUGUUAUGGUUUUUGCACGAAAAUCUAGUAAAAUAUUAAUCGUAAGCAUAUGUUAUAAUUUCAACUUGACGUUGAAAAUUAUCUUAGCUACCAAAAUAUUCAUCAGUCAAUUCUAAGAGAGAGACUAAAAAGUGUUAGAAAAAAAUUUCAACUAAAAUUCUAAGAUAAAAUGAAGUUUAAAAUUUGGAUUAUUUUAUUGUUUGCAACAUCAGGACAUGGAUUUUUAAUAGAAAGAGUAAAAAAACUUUAUAGUUAUAUUGAUGCUAGUGAUCAAGGUUCCACAGAUGUAAGCAUUGAAAAACGUCAAGAAAAACCAUGGGAAACACAACAAUCUACAUCCUCAAAUCAUGGACCAUACGGAAAUUCCGACAAAGAAAAUUU